UACGAAGGGGGCUAGCGUUGCUCGGAAUCACUGGGCGUAAAGGGUGCGUAGGCGGGUCUUUAAGUCAGGGGUGAAAUCCUGGAGCUCAACUCCAGAACUGCCUUUGAUACUGAAGAUCUUGAGUUCGGGAGAGGUGAGUGGAACUGCGAGUGUAGAGGUGAAAUUCGUAGAUAUCAGGAGGAACACCGGUGGCGAAGGCGCACACCUGGCCCGAUACUGACGCUGAGGCGCGAAAGCUAGGGGAGCAAACGGG
rnacentral:rRNA from 1 species